rnacentral:lncRNA from 1 species
AAGUGAUUGGCAUUUUUCACACUGCCAUCAUUUUUCCUGGACUUUGGUUUAGCAAUUUACAAAUAUAGUGUCUACAUGAUUGUCCUAAGGCUCGAAUCUUCAUUAACAUUGAGAAGCUAAUGUGCUGGAAUAUAGAAGGAUCUGUACUUGUGCCUUUCUAAACCACAGCAUGACGUUCAGACCCUUUGAUAUCUUAGUAGGAAAAUACUAUUAGAGGGUUUUUUUCCAGUUUACCUGCACAUUUAUGGUCUUACAGGACUAUAGAUUAAUGAUGCUCUGUUGUUGGAUGAUGGAAAUUUAUUUUUGGAUUCUUCUAUGUGCUAAAAAUAUAAUCCAUUACUGACAGCAGUGUUGAGUUUGUGGUUUGAUCAUGAAGUACAAGCUUGAGUGCUUGUGUGAAAUCCUUUUGAGGCUGUUGGGACCUUAAGGAUCUCCACCAAUAUAAAAUUGUAAGAAUUAAAACAGGGAAAAUUGUCAGCAGUUAGACUUUGCAAAACUUCCUUAUUAGAUGCUGCAACAACACAGUAUUCCAGUUAUAAAAGUUUGUAUCACUGGCUAAUUAAUCCUGAACACAUAGAUUAAAUAUAAUAGUUUUAAUUCAAAUACAAAUUCUGAUUUUGAAUUUUGUAAAUUUUGCCAUUCAAAACUAGCAAAGCCAAACACUGCUAAAAUUUUUAAGAAAUUUAAUUCUCUAGGGAAAUAGGAGAAAAGGGCCUACAAUCCAGUGAUCACAUUAAUCAAUAGUGAGAGAGAUCAGGGAGAAUCUCCCUCACUCAGGAGAGAAAAGCUGCUGAGUACGUGCUUUGAACAGGUUUUAACUCAAAUUCUUGAUCUCUGUCAGGUAUUCCAAAGUUCAUGGACUCGUAGAAUAUGGAAGUCUUGGAAGGGACCUCCAAGGACCGUCAAGUCCAGCUCCUGGCCCUGCAGUGUGAUCCAAAGGCACCUACUCCACAGCAGAUUUCACAGAAUUUUCUUCAUUUUCAAAGAACAUCAUAUAUGACUUGGCAUUACUGAAGAGUUUUACUACAUGGUGUUCAUUGGGCUUUUGUGUUGAUGAAGAAAGCAAUAGAGUUGGUAAGAAGGCAAUUUCCAUCUAUUUGCUAUCAAGCUGAACUUGGGAAAGACUGGGAUUCAAGGACAUAAUGGAUAUCAACUUUAUCUAACAUGAAUUAUCCUUCUGCAUAAAAUAUUCAAUGCCAUCAUUCUUUAAGAUAAUAACAGAGUUAGCUUUCCUUGCAGUUUAACAUACAAUGUUUAAGUUGAGGACAUUUGAUCUUAUAUUGCUACUAAAUAUUAACUUUCAAAGUCACACACUUUAAUGUAUGGAAACAAAGGGUCUUACAGUUAUUAAGUGUUGUUUUUACAUAUAUGUCGUAUUUUAUUUACCUGUAACUGUUUAAAAUGCCUUAAUAUUUAAUUUUUCAUGCUAAUUUCUGGUUUGUUGCACAUUGUAAAGUACUUUUAUAAUACCUUUGUUUUGAUUUCUUCUAAAAUCUCAUGUACUUUGAUGGCACAGUAAAGAAAGCAUAAUGUAGCAAUUCAGCGAAGUAUGGCAGAUGUUUUGGCAGAUACAGGAGUGUGAUUAACAAG